AAAACUUGGAAAGAUGGGCAAAUCCAGUGUUGCUGAGACUGAGAAGACAGAAAGCAACUCUGUCCGCAGGCAAAGUAGUCCAGCAGGUCAGUCUCUGGAUGCACCAACCCUGAGGAUGCCAAGCAAAGAAGUUCAGGGUCCAGGAAAGACACACACGGGGACAGCGAGGGAGAAAGAGAUAGGAGAGAUUGGUGUGGCUGGAACAAGGGAAGGACCAAAGUGCAAAGCCAUGCUGGCUCCUCUGUGCUGUUCAAAAGAGGGACUUGGAGAGAAUGUGCCCCUGAUGAGCAGACAUGCUAAUGAGC
rnacentral:lncRNA from 10 species